AUUGAACGCUGGCGGCAUGCCUUACACAUGCAAGUCGAACGGCAGCACGGUUGCUUGCACCUGUUGGCGAUUGGCGAACGGGUGAGUAAUACAUCUGAACAUGUCCUUUAUUUUUGGAUAGCCCUGCGAAAGCCGGAUUAAUACCGCAUACGAUCUACGGAUGAAAGCGGGGGCCCUUCGUGCCUCGCGCUUUAGGGUUUGCCGAUGGCUGAUUAGCUAGUUGGUGGGGUAAAGGCCUACCAAGGCGACGAUCAGUAGCUGUUCUGAGAGGACGACCAGCCACACUGGAACUGAGACACGGCCCAGACUCCUACGGGAGGCAGCAGUGGGGAAUAUUGGACAAUGGGCGAAAGCCUGAUCCAGCAAUGCCGCGUGUGUGAAGAAGGCCUUCGGGUUGUAAAGCACUUUUGUCCGGAAAGAAAAACAUGGGCCUAAUACGGUCGGGGGAUGACGGUACCGGAAGAAUAAGCACCGGCUAACUACGUG
rnacentral:rRNA from 1 species